UUUGAAAAUACCACAAAUUUACAUAUUAACUGAAAUAAUAUUUUUUCUAAAACAUCACAAAUUUAUAUAUAAUGUUUUGAAAUUAUCUCCCUUAUUUAUUUUUUUAAUCUAAUGUUACAUUAUAUUCAAAGAAAACAUAGCGUUUGUACAAUUAGUGCAUCGGAGUUUGAAUAUAAUAGAAAGAGUUAGAGAGAGAUAAAAUUUAGAUCGAAAUUGAAUUAGGAACGACAUUGGAGCCAAACUUGGAAGCAAGCCUCAUAUCGACUGUCCUUUAACCGUUUGAUGAUUGUGAUCUUAUUCCUAAUUUGUGCAUCAAUCCACUUGAUUAACUAGCCAUGAUACUUGGGUAUUUCGUCGUGCCGUCGGCCAUUUCUUUCAUGCCAAAUGGUGUAGGCAGUGACUUAGAAAAUGUAUUUGAUCAAGAAGCCUUCUAUUCGGUUUUGGUGGUGAGACGAGGCAUGGAGGAGGAUCUGUGACCAGGAGCUGGUGUAGU
rnacentral:sRNA from 1 species